rnacentral:rRNA from 1 species
UACGUAGGGGGCAAGCGUUGUCCGGAUUUAUUGGGCGUAAAGCGCGUGUAGGCGGCCAGGUAGGUCCGUUGUGAAAACUCGAGGCUCAACCUCGAGAUGUCAUCGGAAACCAUCUGGCUAGAGUCCGGAAGAGGAGAGUGGAAUUCCUGGUGUAGCGGUGAAAUGCGCAGAUAUCAGGAAGAACACCAAUGGCGAAAGCAGCUCUCUGGGACGGUACUGACGCUGAGACGCGAAAGCGUGGGGAGCGAACAGG